UUUAAUUUGAUGCACCUUUACAUAUAUAUUUUAUGGUUGAACUUGAAAUUAUUUGUUCGACUCUUAGUGGGCAGAUUUCUGUAAGGCAUUAUUAGUAGAGGCAGAGUGGUACAGCAGGAGCUACACACCAUCCCUUGAAGAAUACCUCAGUAAUGGAUGCAUUUCAUCAUCAGUUUCAGUCCUUAUGGUUCAUACAUUUUUCUCCACAACCCAUCGUGACGGAAUCAAAGAGAUUGCUGAUUUUCUGCACAAGAAUGAAGAUCUUGUCCAUAACAUAUCUCUGAUAGUUCGGCUCACCAAUGAUUUGGGAACUUCCACUGUAACUUUUCUUUCUUUAUUAAUUUUUCUUCUUAAUGAAACACGGCGAAAUCUAACCAAAUUGCUGUAGUGUUUUAUUAGUUUUUACAGCCUACUUCCAUAGUUUAAUUAAUUAAUUAAUUGAUUAACAGGCUGAACAAGAGAGAGGCGAUGCUCCUUCAGCAAUCCUAUGUUACAUGCGAGAGAUGAAUGCUUCUGAAGAUACAGCUGAGGCAAAGAUUAAGGGCAUGAUCGACAAUGCGUGGAAGAAAAUAAAUGGGACAUGCUUGAGAACUCCACAACAAGUGCCUUUUCUCUCACCAUUCAUCAACAACAUUGCCACAAAUAUUGCGCGAAUGGCGCACAGCCUUUACCAAGCUGGAGAUGGAUUUGGUGAUCAGGAACAAGGCUCUCGGCUGAUCCAGUCUGUGCUAGUUGAGCCUUUACCACUUUGAAGAGUUGGAAUCUAGAGAGUCAUCAAUAGUGUUUAAUAAGUAUUCUGUAAUAAUUUAGAAAAUUACUAAGUUAAAGUUUGUUGAGUCAUACUAAAACCAUCUUAGUGUUUGUGACUAGAAUUAUUGGACAACUAGUGGCUGAAAACACUUUAGAAAGUCAGUUACUGUGCACAACCGACUUGACUAGUUGUUUGCCGACUUAGAUGGUCUGUUUAUCAACUCUAUAAAUACGCAUGCAGCCCACUUAUGUAAUCAAAGCUAAUAAUAAAGGCUAAUAGCCUAUCUAGCCAAUAGCUACAAAUAGCUAAGACUUUUAUCCAUCCUAUUGUUGAAUAAAUAAAAUCACUCUAUUGUAAUUCUUAAAACCCAACAGUAUUUUUUUUUAAUAAAUAAAAUCACUCUAUUCCAAGGCAAUGUCAAGGUACAUGUGGUUAAACUACAGCUUUGAGAAGAGAUUUUGAAAAGAUUCGAGAUGAGUGACUUUAGGUUGAUUCACUACUUUUUGGGCAUUGAAAUAAAUCAACACUACAAAAAAAAAGUGGCAACAGUUACCAUUAUUUGGUGACAUUUGAUGACUAAUGGGGGGUAACUAAAGGCUUUAGUCACUCCACUUAUCACCAACGAGAAAUUAAGAAAGGAAGAUGAAUCAGUUUACAAAAGUCUCUUUGCUGCUCUAAGCCAAAUAAGCUUUGUCAGGCUCCUGGGUUGCACGACAGAAGGGAAAUUAGGAAGAGAUGGAGGAGUAAGGCUAGAAAUUGCGGGGUUUUAGGGAUGAGAGAUAAUGCUUGCUCUUUGGAUGUGCGUUUUGGGAGGGAGAGGAAGAAGAUGGAAGAACAGAGAAUGAAAUUGAAGGGUUCCAGAGAUGAGAGAUGAUGCUUGCUCUCUAGAUGUGUGUUUUGGGAGAGAGAGGAAAAAGAUGGACGAACAGAGCAUGAAGGUAAAGGGUUUCAGAGAUGAGAGAUGAUGUUUGCUUUCUCUGGAUGUGGGUUUUUGGGAGAGAUAGAGGAAGAAGAUGGAAGAAUAGAGCAUGAAAUUGAAGGGUUCCAGAGAUGAGAGAUGAUGCUUGCUCUCUGGAUGUGUGUUUUGGGAGAGCGAGGAAGAAGAUGGAAGAAAAGAGCAUGAAAUUGAAGGGUUCUAGGUAUGAGAGAUGAUGUUUGCUCUCUCUGGGUGUGGGUUUUUGGGAGAGAUAGAGGAAGAAGAUGGAAGAACAAAGCAUGAAAUUGAAGGAUUCUAGAGGGGAUGCUUGCCUUCGAUCGAUUUGUUGUGUCUUGGCUGGGUAGAAAGUGGCUCCUUUUAUAGGCACUUUGAAGACUCAAUUUUAUCAAGCCACCCUUUCCCAUUUUCCUUCACUUUCUUCCAUUCCAUCUUAUUUGGUGAAACUUCCUUAGUCUGAGCAUGUAGGCACGAAGCUUUUUGAAGUUCCAAGACCUUCACACAGCUGGACUUCUCCAUGUGGGUGAGGAGCCACCCACUUUUGUUUCUUGUUUUUUCACCAAAGCUUGAAGAGGAAAGAAUGGGUAAGGAUGCUUAGUCAAAAAGGUGAUCAGCACAUGGGUAUGCUUGGUUUUGGUGGUUUGGCUGUGAUCUGGUUUUAAUAGAGAUGUACAACGUUGGAUAUUUUAUAAGGUGCUGGGCUGGGCUAUUUUGUUUCCAGCGCUUGUGAGUUCCCUUUGAUUUCGUCAGGCUGCUGGAAGCUUUGGCUGAUGUGGGAUUUUAUGGGCUAUUAGGUUUUCUUAAGGUGAUGGGCUACUAGGUUUUCUCUCAUGCUUACCCAUAUGUUUGGGCUCAAUGAAUGGGCUUGAGUUUUGGUGCUCUCAAGUAGCCCAAAACUUCCACUCUUUAGACCAUCAAUGGGCCUCGUAAAUGCUCGUAACCAUCCACACCACAACCCGCUCAGCAAGUCCCAGAUAUUCGCGUGGCUUGGGCUCACUUAAACUUGUAGCGUGACAUGUUGCUUAAAUAAGAAUUUUCCGUUUGGUGUUGUACUGGGCUGAAAAUAUAUUUAGGCUCAGCCUUGGAUUUUUUGGGCCUCAACAACAAUCAACCUCUAUGUCCCACACAUCCUCCAAAAACUAUUGACAUUUUCAAAAGGGAGCUGAUUUUCUCACUCCUACACUUAGGGGUGGGCACGGUUCAGUUUGGACCGAUUUUUGUCUAAAAUUAGAACCGAUCCGGUACUAUUCAUCCGGUUUGGUUCGGUUCGAUUUUAAUUAAAAAAAUUUCAAAAACUGUCCGGUUCGGUUUGAACCGGUUUCGGUCCGGUUCCGGUUCCGGUUCGGUUUUGAACCGGAUUAUAAAAAUUAUUUUUUUAAAUUAUUUUUUAAUACAAUUCUCAACUGAAAUACUAUUUUUUUACUUGAAAAUUAACAAAUUACUCAAUUUCAUAUAAAAAAUAAAUAUUAAAGUGAGAAAAGAGAGAUAUUUUGACAUUGAGCUUGGAUAAAUAUUAGGUUUUUUUUAGUGAAAUUAAAAAUAUAGCAUUAAAUAUAAAUAUAUAUUGAAAUUAUAUUUUUUUUUAGUUUCACCGGUUCGGUUUUUGAAGACAUGGAACCGGAUUCGGAACCGGUCCAAACCGGUCCGGUUCGGUUUUUGACCGGUUUUUGACUUUUUGGUCAACUCGGUUUUUUUCCGGUUUGGUUCGGUACGGUUCGGCUCGGAUUUCCGGUUCGCCGGUUUGAGUGCCCACCCCUACCUACACUCCUUUUGUGGAAAUUGUAUGUUAUAGUAAACAAUAUUAAAAAAAAUAAAACAGAGUGUAAAUGAACAAAAUGAAAGUGAGAAAAUCAACACCCUUUCAAAAUUGGGCAUUCAAAUUUUAUUGGGCUCUUAAUGGGCUUUCAUUAGAGCCCAAUGGUUUUUGGGCCAAAUGACAGUGAUAUCCUUGGUUGCCGACAACCAAGACACUGAAUGCAUGAACACGUGUUAAUAACUGACACAUUCUCAUGUACUCUUUUGGACAUGCAAUAAUGAUCAGUUGCUCUAAAAUUUUACCCAACAGUAGUCUCCCACACCAAAUACGUACCACGAAUACAAAGAUUGUUGCCUGCCACCGACGAAGCCACAAUUAAUUCUUCACCCACCACUGCAUGCAUUAAAGAUGUGGUCAUUUCUUUGUCGUACGAUGAAACAUAACAUGUGUUAGAUACCAAAAAGGCAUUACUCAAUGCAUGUACGAAUUAGUUGAGUUUUGAAUUUUCUCAAUUUUCACGUGAAAGUGAGGCUAUAUGAGCAGUAUGUGAAAAUUAAACACACCUUUGCCUAUAUAAACCCCUCCAAAAUAACGGACAAUACCAAGAAAACCAUAUAAUUUACAAACACUAAGUUUCUAUUAUGGAAUUCAAAACAAACUUUCAAGCUGAUGAUCAUCAAAGACGCUCUGCUAAUUAUAAGCUAAAUAUUUGGAAGGAUGGUUUCCUUGAAUCUCUGAACAGCAAAUAUGUUGUGAGUCCUCUUUGUCCUAAUUAACUUUUCUCGAGAUAUUAAUAAUUUUAUUAGAUUUUUACUAGAAUAAUGACACAUUAAUUAACUGAGUGUGCAGAGAGAUGAUUAUACAAGGCAGUCCGAGAAUCUAAUAAAAGAUGUGAAGAAUAUGAUGUUUGUUGAAACUGAAGAUUUGAUAGCUCAAUUGGAGCUGAUUGACAUAAUUGGAAAACUAGGCCUCACGAACCACUUUGAAAAGGAAAUCAAGGAAGCCCUAGACACUGUUGCACUUUAAGAUCCUCAGGUAGCAUGGCUAUAAAGUAUCGCAAGGUAAAUAUAACGUACAAUAAUGUUAUUUGUAUCUUAUUCAUUUAUUUCGUUUUUAGGACAUUUCUAUUGAGACGGACCAUAAUAUACUAAAUUCACACACGCAUGCUAGGACUUGAACCUAGAACCAUUUUCAUGGGAGAGCAAUUGCUCCAAAACACUACAAUUCUGGGUCCUUUGCUUUAUUUUAUUUAUUGAUUACUUUGUUGACCACCUCUAUCAAUGUACGUGGGACUCACUUAUAUUAGAGAUGUACGUAUUUGUAAACAACUCCCAUAACACUAUCUUAUUUCAUGUUAUUUAAAUUUUCAAAUUGCCUUAAUAUUAAUGUAUGGGGUGAAAACACAUAUCUCUACGUACGUGUAGAUGUUUUUGGUGGCUUCAUGGAUGAGAAUGGUGCAUUAAAGGAAAGCAAUUUUUGGGAUGUCAAAGGCAUGCUUGAACUUUUGGAGGCCUCAAACCUGGCUUUUGAAGGCGAAAGGAUCUUAGAUGAGGCGAAAGCUUCCUCUACGGUAGCUCUCAGAGGUUCCAAAGUCUGGAAUCUGGACAAUAACCUUGCCAGGCAAGGUUAAAUUUCCAUCAUGGCUACACAUCUUUUAGAAUUUUGCUUAGUAAAGUCAUCAACUUGAUUCUGAUAAUAGACGACGUUUAUGACAUUUAUGGCUCAUUGGAAGAACUAAAGAUCUUCACCAACGCGGUCGACAGGUACCUUUGCAUUGCAGCAGUAUUAAAUUGGGGUUAGUUUCAUAAUUAAUGUCUAAAAUUCUUAUAAAUUAAAAUUGCCUUAAAUUUAGGUGGGAUGUUGGGGCAACCGAACAGCUUCCAGAGUGUAUGAAGACCUGUUUCCAAGUGCUCUACAACACUACUUGUGAAUUUGCUCAUGAAAUUGAGGAGGAGAGUGGUUGGAAUCUAGCAUUACCUCAUUUGAGCAAAGCGGUAGCCUAGCUAGGCCUUUCCCCCUUUUUUUUUCUCUUUGUUGUUUUGUUUAAUUUGAUGCACCUUUACAUAUAUAUUUUAUGGUUGAACUUGAAAUUAUUUGUUCGACUCUUAGUGGGCAGAUUUCUGUAAGGCAUUAUUAGUAGAGGCAGAGUGGUACAGCAGGAGCUACACACCAUCCCUUGAAGAAUACCUCAGUAAUGGAUGCAUUUCAUCAUCAGUUUCAGUCCUUAUGGUUCAUACAUUUUUCUCCACAACCCAUCGUGACGGAAUCAAAGAGAUUGCUGAUUUUCUGCACAAGAAUGAAGAUCUUGUCCAUAACAUAUCUCUGAUAGUUCGGCUCACCAAUGAUUUGGGAACUUCCACUGUAACUUUUCUUUCUUUAUUAAUUUUUCUUCUUAAUGAAACACGGCGAAAUCUAACCAAAUUGCUGUAGUGUUUUAUUAGUUUUUACAGCCUACUUCCAUAGUUUA
rnacentral:lncRNA from 1 species